rnacentral:lncRNA from 10 species
GCACAUGCGCAGAAUCAUCGUGGUGCACGGCUCUCCCUUUGCUUCUUCGGUUGCAGUCCUCUUGCUUCUUGCGCGUGCGUGUAGCGCUUUUGCAAAGCCGCGGAGGUGAAGUGAACUUAGAGGUUGUGGGGCCGAGGGGUCGUCUUAUAGCUACCAGCCCACAGGCAUUUAGUCUACGUUGGAGGUAAACAAAUACGGGUCCUGCUUAGGAGAAAAGAAAAACGUCUUACAGCCAGUGUCUAAACUCCAAACAACGGAAUGUAUCAAUGAGACCUUGUAUAUGGAUACACGUGCAUUUAAAACCGCCCUGCCGGCUUGUAGAGCUUUUGCCGUUCUCCAGCGCUUUACAGGGGUUAUCGCACUUAAGCCUCGGAACAACUUUACCAGGAGUGGGGUUUAAUCUGGACUGAAUUGGAGGAAAGGAACUGGCACCAGAGUGGAGGCUGGAAGGAUGGUGGAACUGACACUGGGACAGAACACAGAAAACAGAAUCUAAUGCUAUUGCUCUGGCUAUAUCAAAUAAAAGUGUCAAGAGUGAGCAUCCUUGCCUUGUGCUGAAUCACAAAGGAAUACCUUUCAGUUUUUCUCCAUUGAUUAUGAUAGCAGUGGGCUUUUCACAGUGGGCUUUACUGUGUUGAGGAGGAGGUCUGAUGGCCGGGAGGACAGGAAGAAGGAACCCACAAUGAAGCAAAAGUUGCGUUUAACUCUGUCCUCACCAUUCCUCUCCUGGACCUGUCCUAAACUGGAAGCUGGGGGAGGAUGGAGUGCUGGAAUGCUGCAGAAGUCUCAUGGGAGGGCGCCUGGUGUUCACCACAUGUGUACACUGUUGCACGACCAG